rnacentral:rRNA from 1 species
GAUGAACGCUGGCGGCGUGCCUAAUACAUGCAAGUCGAGCGAAUGGAUUAAGAGCUUGCUCUUAUGAAGUUAGCGGCGGACGGGUGAGUAACACGUGGGUAACCUGACCAUAAGACUGGGAUAACUCCGGGAAACCGGGGCUAAUACCGGAUAACAUUUUGAACCGCAUGGUUCGAAAUUGAAAGGCGGCUUCGGCUGUCACUUAUGGAUGGACCCGCGUCGCAUUAGCUAGUUGGUGAGGUAACGGCUCACCAAGGCAACGAUGCGUAGCCGACCUGAGGGGGUGGGCGGCCACACUGGGACUGAGACACGGCCCAGACGCCUACGGGAGGCAGCAGUAGGGAAUCUUCCGCAAUAGACGAAAGUCUGACGGAGCAACGCCGCGUGAGUGAUGAAGGCUUUCGGGUCGUAAAACUCUGUUGUUAGGGAAGAACAAGUGCUAGUUGAAUAAGCUGGCACCUUGACGGUACCUAACCAGAAAGCCACGGCUAACUACGUGCCAGCCGCCGCCGUAA